rnacentral:rRNA from 1 species
GUGCCAGCCGCCGCGGUAAAACGUAGGAGACGAACGUUAUCCGGAGUUACUGGGCGUAAAGGGCGUGCAGGCGGUUUGAUAAGUUCGGCGUGAAAUUUUCCGGCUUAACCGGGGGAUGUCGUCGGAGACUGUCGGACUAGAGGGUGAUAGAGGCGUGUGGAAUUCCGGGUGUAGUGGUGAAAUGCGUAGAGAUCCGGAGGAACACCAGUGGCGAAGGCGACACGCUGGGUCACACCUGACGCUAAGACGCGACAGCAUGGGGAGCAAACGGGAUUAGAAACCCCCGUAGUCC